CGUGAACACAGAUCCGCAUAUUCAGAGUGGAUAGAUGUCACUGCUGCAAUCCAAUUUGAAUAUAAUCAGUGCCAAUCAUCGUUGUUGGAGAAGUGGACCAUCCCUUUUAUUCCACCUGU
rnacentral:lncRNA from 1 species